rnacentral:rRNA from 1 species
UACGUAGGGGGCAAGCGUUGUCCGGAUUUAUUGGGCGUAAAGAGCGUGUAGGCGGCCAGAUAGGUCUGUUGUGAAAACUCGAGGCUCAACCUCGAGACGCCGAUGGAAACCAUUUGGCUAGAGUCCGGAAGAGGAGAGUGGAAUUCCUGGUGUAGCGGUGAAAUGCGCAGAUAUCAGGAGGAACACCGAUGGCGAAGGCAGGUCUCUGGGCAUUAACUGACGCUGAGGAGCGAAAGCAUGGGGAUCGAACAGG